UGUAUCAAUAUUAUUAUUAAU
rnacentral:piRNA from 1 species